rnacentral:rRNA from 2 species
UUAAAUUGAAGAGUUUGAUCAUGGCUCAGAUUGAACGCUGGCGGCAGGCCUAACACAUGCAAGUCGAACGGUAACAGGAAGUAG